rnacentral:tRNA from 13 species
CGCGGGGUGGAGCAGCCUGGUAGCUCGUCGGGCUCAUAACCCGAAGGUCGUUGGUUCAAAUCCGGCCCCCGCAACCA